rnacentral:pre_miRNA from 1 species
ACCUUGGCUCUAGACUGCUUACUGUAAAUGUCACUUAAGGAACAGUAACAGUCUACAGUCAUGGCUA